rnacentral:lncRNA from 1 species
UCAGGCAGAUGUGGUAUCUUCUCUGGAAGCAUAAGAUGUUGAAGAUGAGUACUCGAGAGCAAUGUCAGGUAAGUAAUCAGGCAAGGGGUUUCAGGCAGUCAGGUCCUGAUUGGAAGCUUGAUUCCAAGUGUUGACUGAUUGCUCUCUUUUUCCUUGUCUUGCAAGUAAGAACAAGGCCAAAGGAAAAGACAGGGAAAAAGCAUGAUAUAGGAUACUCUUGCUUUUAACCCUAAUGAUAUGAGAUACUCUUGCUUUGGUGUGGCUUGUUUGCAAAGGUAUUAUCGGGAGGAAAAUAAGCUGAGUAUUUCGAGAGACUUUGCUGAGAGUGCCCUCUUGGAUGUAGAGAAAUGUUGAGCAUUUUUUUUAAUUUGUAGGUUUGCCUGGCUAUGGUGGAUGGAGGUCGACAUAUAUAGGUGUCUCCCUAACAACAAGUAGUAGUGCUAUUCCUUUACCCUUCUUGGUCAUAGCAAUAUAGUGGGAGCUGUAAGCUUCACGUGUUUUAACUUUGUCCGAGCACUUUGAAAAAGUGGUAUGUGGUAUCUGGAAAGCUGAUGUUGCAAGUGAAGAUUGUAGAUAAGCUUUAUCCAAGGAAAUCUGGCUCUCGAAGUUCGGAGAGCGGUACCUCUUCGGUUUUUGAACAAGCAAUCCUGUCGGGGAUCUGGUUCUCGAGAUUCAGAGAACUGUGCCUCUUCUCUUGGAAAUGUGCCUUAAAACCAAUCAUAUGAUGAUACUUUACGGACAUUUCACAUGUUAAACUAAUCUAGUUUAAUAUCAAGGGCAAAGAUUAUUAUUUGAGCCGUCUCAUAUAAAUGUUAUAGGCUUAAACGAUAAGUCCAAGGAAUAUGUGAUUGGGAGAAUGCGAUCUAAAGAAGUUAGAUUCAUGAGACCAUUCUUUCGUAGACACAUCCUAAACGUUCCUGAUUAUAAGAUUGCCAAUUGG